GCCAUCAUGCAUACGCUGAUAUAAAUAAACUAAUUAACGUGAAAUAUUCAAGUAGUGUACCUAUUCUGUAACGUAAAAGAGUAUUACUUGAGGAAUGAUACGAUAUUUAAAAAAUAUAUGGUAGAUAAUAUGUUGAUUGUUGAGUGGAGAAAAGGAUCCACAGAUUUAAAAAAAAAAUGAUAAUAUAUCGUAGAUAAUGUGUUGGAUCAUGUUCUAAAAUAAAAGUGAUACUCCCUCCGUCCCAUUAAAAUUGGCCACAUUUCCUUUUUGGUGUAUCCCAUUAUUUCUGGUCACUUUCUAAAAUAAGGAAAAAUUUAACUUAAUUAGGACCACUAAUUAAGUUACUAACUAAACCCUAAUUUAACCUACUUAAAGUCUAUUUUCUCCAUCAUUUCCACCUAACCCUAGCAGCCCACUCUUUCGUCUCUCUCUCUCUCUCUUAUUGUUCGUCCCUUCCCUCUGAAUCUAGGGUUUUCGUCGUUCAAUUGCGUUCAAUCGGUCGUUCCCCAUCUGAAUGUAGGGUUCUCACCCAUGAUUCGCCGUUCAAUCGGCUCGUCGCCUCUCUGUAUCUAGAGUUCACAGCUGCCGCAAUGAUGAGCAAUCCUUUCUCCGACGCUCCUGCUUCACCGGAGCCCGUCGCCUCUCUGAGCGGCGUCUUGCGGCACGCACCUUCCCCGUCGAGUCUCAGAUUGAAGGCUCCCCGUCCGUUUUCAUCCCGCGCCUCCACUGACUCUCCGGCUUCACCGGAGCCCGUCGCCUCUAUGAGCGGCGUUCUAUUGCCGCCAGCAACCCCCACCGUCUAGUCUCCAUCGAUUGGCGGAGAUUGUAUGUCGAAUGGCCAUAUCUUGAGGAAGAUAGUCAGAUCGAGGGCUCCCUCGUCUGUUUUCAUCCCGCCGCCUCCACUGACUCUCCGGCCUCUCUAGAAUCUUCGCCGCCUUCGUUGACCUAUCCAUCUCCGCCUGAUUCGACGGAAACCGAUGGGGAUCUCUCUGGGCUUAUUGUGGCCAACACACUGUCACCGUGGUUCAUUUGAGAGUACGGCGCAGAUUCACUAGACGAUGUGGACUUCGGUUGCUAGAGGCAAGUCCCGGAAACGGAGCAGCAACCUAUUUCAGCGGUCCAAAGACGAAUGACAUUACGUUGGGAGGAAUUGAAGAGUGAUGCAGCCUCUUUCAUGGCUCCAUAUCUUGGCUUUCCAUUCUCAAGUUGGCUAAAGAAAUUGGACUAUUUUGUUCCUAUCUUGAUUAGAUAGGUUUUUGCUAACCAUUGUUCAAAAGUUUUUUUUUUUUAGAACUACUGUAGUUUGAUAAAUCUGCCAAUAGAGGACAGAUUUAUAGUGUAGCUUUUGGUGGGAAAACUGAAAAUAUGUUGAAGUUAUGAAAUGAAAAAAGUUGGAGGAGCCAAAA